ACGGGAGGCAGCAGUGGGGAAUAUUGCACAAUGGGGGAAACCCUGAUGCAGCGACGCCGCGUGAGUGAAGAAGUAUUUCGGUAUGUAAAGCUCUAUCAGCAGGGACGAUAAUGACGGUACCUGACUAAGAAGCCCCGGCUAACUACGUGCCAGCAGCCGCGGUAAUACGUAGGGGGCAAGCGUUAUCCGGAUUUACUGGGUGUAAAGGGAGUGUAGGUGGUUAUGUAAGUCAGAUGUGAAAACCCGGGGCUCAACCCCGUGACUGCAUUUGAAACUGCGUAACUAGAGUGCAGGAGAGGUAAGUGGAAUUCCUAGUGUAGCGGUGAAAUGCGUAGAUAUUAGGAGGAACACCAGUGGCGAAGGCGGCUUACUGGACUGUAACUGACACUGAGGCUCGAAAGCGUGGGGAGCAAACAGGAUUAGAUACCCUGGUA
rnacentral:rRNA from 1 species